rnacentral:rRNA from 1 species
UACGGGGGGGGCAAGCGUUGUUCGGAAUUACUGGGCGUAAAGGGCUCGUAGGUGGCCAACUAAGUCAUACGUGAAAUCCCUCAGCUUAACUGGGGAACUGCGUCUGAUACUGGAUGGCUUGAGUUUGGGAGAGGGAUGCGGAAUUCCAGGUGUAGCGGUGAAAUGCGUAGAUAUCUGGAGGACCACCUGCGGUGUAGACGGCUUACUGGACCGCCACUGACGCUGAGGCACGAAAGCGUGGGUAGCAAACAGG